ACCAGCACCUGAUCAUUUCUGGACCAAAUAAAGACAGAAGACAGAAAAUUCGCCUUCUCUUUCUCUCUCUAAAACAAAAACUAUACCAAAGGAGCUUUGGCUGGGGAACUUUCAUGGACUGACUAGAGCUCAGUUUAAUCUGCAAAUCCCAUUUCAGGAACUGUGUUGUUUAUCCCUGUGUUAUCUCCAAGGGUUGCAUGUUUGAUCCCUUGUAGUGUGAUCUUUUGUACUUAUUUUUGCUUUUCUAGCAUUUCAUUGUUUUUUCUGUGCACUGAGAUUGUUGGGUGCUAAACAUUUGGCAAGGUUGCUUUGUAGACGAUAGAUUGUUUGUACUGCUUCAAAUUUGUGCCAAUGGAACACCAUUUUGGUCAAGACGCUGCUCCUGCAUCUGGGUCCUUUGAUAAAACUAGGGUUUUGAACGUGAAGCCAUUAAGAACGCUUGUUCCUGUGUUCCCUUCACCAUCCAAUCCUGCUUCAUCUUCAGCUCCCCAAGGGGGUGCUCCAUUUGUCUGUGUUUCACCUUCUGGUCCUUUCCCUUCUGGGGUUGCACCCUUCUAUCCAUUCUUCAUCUCCCCGGAGUCCCAGAGGCUCUCAGAGCAGAAUGCACAAACCCCCACUGGUCAACGUGUGCCUGCUACUCCUGCUGCUCCUAUAUCGACUGCUGUUCCAAUUAAUUCAUUCAGGACGCCAACUGGAGCUACUAAUGGUGAUGUGGGCACAUCGAGGAGGAGUACCCGAAGUCGGGGACAGGUCGCACAGGAAGAUGGCUACAGUAAUGCUGUGAUAGAGGAAGUUGAGGCAGAUGCAACAACUGUGACUAAAAGAUCAAAGCGCAAGUUGCAGAACAAGAUAAAGGGACCGCAGAGUGUUGGUUCUGGGGAUGUUGAUCCAGAUGCAGUGGCUGCUGAUAUUCUCAAGUCACUUAACCCAUUGGUUUUUAAUGUACUAAAUCAACCCGAAGGUAGCAGGGACUCAGUUGCAUAUACACUCAUGAUAUAUGAAGUAAUGCGAAGGAAGCUUGGACAAAUUGAGGACUCAAAUAGGGCUGCUAACGCUGUAGCAAAACGACCAGACUUGAGGGCAGGUGCAAUUAUGAUGAAUAAAGGGAUUCGGACCAACAGCAAGAAACAUAUUGGACUUGUGUCUGGUGUUGAGAUUGGGGAUAUUUUCUUUUUCAGAUUUGAAUUAUGCUUAGUGGGAUUACAUUCACCUUCUAUGGCUGGAAUUGAUUACAUCGGUACCAAAACCAGUCAAGAGGAAGAGCCCUUAGCUGUAAGUAUUGUCUCAUCUGGAGGGUAUGAAGAUGAUGUGGAGGAUGGGGAUCUGCUGAUUUACAGUGGCCAAGGUGGGGUUAACCGUGACAAGGGAGCAAGUGAUCAAAAGCUUGAAAGGGGUAAUCUUGCUUUGGAUAACAGUGCUCAUAGAGGUAACGAAGUGAGGGUAAUUAGGGGUUUGAAGGAUUUGUAUCAUCCAACGGGGAAGGUAUAUGUCUAUGAUGGUCUUUACAAGAUUCAAGACUCCUGGGUGGACAAAUCAAAAUCUGGUUUCAAUGUGUUCAAGUAUAAAUUAGGCAGGUUGCCUGGACAGCCUCCAGCAUAUAUGAUUUGGAAAUCCAUUCAACAAUGGACUGAGAAAUCUGCUCCAAGAGCUGGGGUUAUAUUGCCUGAUCUUACUUCUGGGGCCGAAAAAGUACCUGUUUGUCUUGUGAAUGAUGUUGAUGCCGAGAAGGGCCCUGCAUAUUUCACUUACCUCCCAAAUCUUAAGAAUUUGAGGCCAACUGCUCCCCUGGAAUCCUCUAUUGGAUGUUCUUGUGUUGGUGGAUGCCAACCUAACAAUUCUAACUGUCCUUGUGUUCAAAAGAAUGGUGGCUAUCUACCAUAUUCUUCAGCUUCAUUAAUUGCAGACCUAAAAUCUGUUAUAUAUGAGUGUGGUCCUUCUUGUCAAUGUCCUCCUAAUUGCCGAAACAGGGUUUCUCAAAGUGGCUUGAAGUUUCGUUUGGAGGUUUAUAAAACCAAGAAUAAAGGAUGGGCUCUUAGAUCAUGGGAUGCUAUUCGAGCAGGAUCUUUCAUAUGUGAGUAUGCUGGGGAAGUCAUAGACAGUGCCAGAGUGGAGGAGGAGCUUGGUGGUGACAAUCUUGAUGAUUACAUUUUUGAUUCUACUCGCAUUUAUCAACAACUGGAAGUUUUUCCAGAUGACACUGAAGCUCCAAAAAUCCCAUCCCCCCUAUAUAUAUCAGCAAUUAAUGAAGGGAAUGUUGCUCGGUUUAUGAAUCACAGCUGUUCUCCAAAUGUAUUAUGGCGUCCAGUCAUACAUGAAAAUAAGAAUUUUUCAGAUCUCCACAUUGCUUUCUAUGCAAUUAGACAUAUCCCUCCUAUGAUGGAGUUAACUUUUGAUUAUGGGACGGUUCUUCCUCUCAAGGCAGGUCAUAGGAAAAAGAAAUGCUUAUGUGAAUCUGUGAAAUGCAGGGGUUACUUUUGUUAAUUAUUUGUCCUAUGAGUUUUGGAUGAAGAGGCCUCUGAAUGAAUGUACUGAAGGAUAAGGUGUAUAAUUUCUGUCUUUGUGGCGUAGAAAUAGCAUAAAUGUAGAACGUGAUUUAUGACAUUGCAUCAUGUUUCUCAGCUGUAGCUGUAAAACCAGACAGCAGGAUGGAACUGCUUAGAAAGAUGUUAGCAGACAAACUUUUCUUUUUGGCAAACCUAGUAAAUUAUCACUUGAAAGAUCAAGUUGCCUAUUUACUGAUGUGGGUAAGUUAAGUUGUAAAAGUUAACUGUAGACACAUUUUGUGUAGAUUGUUUCUUUUUUCCGCUGUUAGAUACAUUUUUUUCUUCCUCAUGAAUGGAUUUUGACUAGGGCUGUUAGUAGUCCACAUUUUGAACUAGAUCCGUAGAAUUGGAUAUUUAAGUUUAUUACCAUCAUUUCCAAAAA